CCCAGGGACCCUUUCCCAUGCCUAUCUUCAUCUCAGCAGCUGCUUCCUGGUGAACCUGACCUGAUGAGCAGGUGCAUCCAGAUUACAAAGCAAAAAACUGAUGCCCCUGGGAGAACUCACGCCCCGUCUUGGACCUAGUGCCUGGCAUAAAUCACAAGGACUGACUGAACGGACUGAGCCCAUCCUGCUGCAGAUAAAACACCUCUUCUCAAGGCUUGAGGAUCUAAGAUAAGAAGAAAAGGGGGACUUCCCUGGCAGUCCAGAGGUGAAGACUUCAUCUCCAAUGCAACGUGUGCAGCUUCAGUCCCUGGUCAGAGAGCUAAGAUCCCACACGCCUCAUGCCCAAAAAAUCAAAAUGUAAAACAGACGGGAUAUUGUAACAGAUUCAAUAAAGACUUCAAAAAUG
ensembl:lncRNA